UGACCUGGGGUAAGGAUGUAGGGCGAGAUGUAGGCAAAUCCGCAUCUCACGUGCCUGAGAUCUAACGCCGAGCCGAUUCAGGUGAAGUGGGUAAUCCUAUGCUGCCAAGAAAAGCCUCUAGCGAGUGUUAAAGCCGCCCGUACCCCAAACCGACACAGGUGGUCAGGUAGAGAAUACUAAGGCGAUCGAGAUAACUAUGGUUAAGGAACUCGGCAAAAUGCCCCCGUAACUUCGGGAGAAGGGGGGCCCGUUCUGGUGAGGAGAUUUACUCUCCGAGCUGGGAUUGGCCGCAGAGACCAGGCCCAAGCGACUGUUUACUAAAAACACAGGUCCAUGCUAAGUCGCAAGACGCUGUAUAUGGACUGACGCCUGCCCGGUGCUGGAACGUUAAGGGGACGGGUUAGCGACUUCGGUCGCGAAGCUCAGAACUUAAGCGCCAGUAAACGGCGGUGGUAACUAUAACCAUCCUAAGGUAGCGAAAUUCCUUGUCGGGUAAGUUCCGACCUGCACGAAUGGCGUAACGACUUGGGCGCUGUCUCAACCGUAGACUCGGCGAAAUUGCACUACGAGUAAAGAUGCUCGUUACGCGCGGCAGGACGGAAAGACCCCGGGACCUUUACUACAGCUUGGUAUUGGUGGUCGAUUCGAUUUGUGUAGGAUAGGUGGGAGACUGUGAACUACGGACGCCAGUUCGAAGGGAGUCAUCGUUGAAAUACCACUCUGAUCGUAUUGGCUGUCUAACCUAGAUCCGUAAUCCGGAUCAGGGACAGUGCCUGGUGGGUAGUUUAACUGGGGCGGUUGCCUCCUAAAAUGUAACGGAGGCGCUCAAAGGUUCCCUCAGCCUGGUUGGCAAUCAGGUAUCGAGUGUAAGUGCACAAGGGAGCUUGACUGUGAGACUGACGGGUCGAGCAGGGACGAAAGUCGGAACUAGUGAUCCGGCGCUGGCAAGUGGGAGCGGCGUCGCUCAACGGAUAAAAGGUACCCCGGGGAUAACAGGCUGAUCUUGCCCAAGAGUCCAUAUCGACGGCAUGGUUUGGCACCUCGAUGUCGGCUCGUCGCAUCCUGGGGCUGGAGUAGGUCCCAAGGGUUGGGCUGUUCGCCCAUUAAAGCGGCACGCGAGCUGGGUUUAGAACGUCGUGAGACAGUUCGGUCCCUAUCCGCCGCGCGCGUAAGAGUCUUGAGAAGAUCUGUCCCUAGUACGAGAGGACCGGGAUGGACGAACCUCUGGUGUGUCAGUUGUCCUGCCAAGGGCACUGCUGAUUAGCUACGUUCGGAAGAGAUAACCGCUGAAAGCAUCUAAGCGGGAAACUCGCUUCAAGAUGAGGGCUCUCACAGGGUUAACCUGGUAAGGCCCCCAGUAGACCACUGGGUUGAUAGGCCGGAAGUGGAAGUGCGGUAACGCAUGCAGCUGACCGGUACUAAUAGGCCGAGGACUUGACCU
rnacentral:rRNA from 1 species